CGAUUCGGGGCACAAAGGGCCGAUUUCGCUGAGGGUCCCACGGGCGUCAGCACAGCUCCGCUCCGCUCUUGCCGAGACCAGAAAUUCCAUCCCACCGCCCGACACUGGUGUGUCCUGAAAUCCCCUGAGAUGCUCAUGCGGCUCUUCUGUAACAGCACCGGUACCACCAGGCCUUUCUCUCCACUGGAGCAGCUCCCUGUACACAAGGUGCAGGAUUCAAGUCAGCAUCUGCCCCACACACCUCUCAGAAACACUUCAGCCCCUUCUCCCCACGUGCUCAAAUCCCCAUCUCUAGCAUCACUGAUGGUCAGUCACAUUAUACACCGAGUAUAUGGACAGUUCCAAGCCUGUGCAUCCCUGUUACCCAGAUUGGGAAGGAGCUUUCACAGCCGCCUCCAGCCCUUCAACAGCCCCCACCCGUGAGACCCAACCUGUGCUGCAAAUGAAGCUUUCCUUAGAAUCACAGUCAUACAAUGGUUUGGGUUGGAAGAGACCUUUAAAGGUCAUCUAAUCCAACCCUCUCCCAUGGACAGGGACAGCUUCAGCUAGAUCUGUCUACUCGGAGCCCCAUCCAGCCUGACCUUGAAUGUUUCCAUAGAUGGGGCCUCUACCACCCCUCUGGGCAACCUAAUCCAGUACCUCACCACUCUCAUCAUAAAAAGAAUCUUCCUUA